rnacentral:tRNA from 1 species
AAGAUGCUAGUAAAAGAAAUACACUGCCUUGUCAAGGCAAAGUUGUGGGUUGAAACCCCACGCAUCUUA